rnacentral:rRNA from 1 species
GAUGAACGCUAGCUACAGGCUUAACACAUGCAAGUCGCGGGGCAGCAUGGGGGUUGCUUGCAAUCCCCGAUGGCGACCGGCGCACGGGUGAGUAACGCGUAUCCAACCUGCCCUUCACCACGGGAUAACCCGGCGAAAGUCGGACUAAUACCGUAUGUUGUCCAUUGACGGCAUCCGAUUUGGACGAAAGGCUUGGCGGUGAGGGAUGGGGAUGCGUCCGAUUAGCCAGACGGCGGGGUAACGGCCCACCGUGGCUACGAUCGGUAGGGGUUCUGAGAGGAAGGUCCCCCACACUGGAACUGAGACACGGUCCAGACUCCUACGGGAGGCAGCAGUGAGGAAUAUUGGUCAAUGGGCGUAAGCCUGAACCAGCCAAGUAGCGUGCAGGAUGACGGCCCUAUGGGUUGUAAACUGCUUUUAUGCGGGGAUAAAGUGGCCCACGUGUGGGCUUUGGCAGGUACCGCAGGAAUAAAGACCGGCUAAUUCCGU